UACAGAGGGUGCGAGCGUUAAUCGGAGUUACUGGGCGUAAAGGGCGCGUAGGCGGUCAUUUAAGAUAGGUGUGAAAUCCCUGGGCUUAACCUAGGAAUGGCAUUUAAGACUGGAUGACUGGAGUACAGUAGAGGGUGGCGGAAUUUCCGGUGUAGCGGUGAAAUGCGUAGAGAUCGGAAGGAACACCAGUGGCGAAGGCGGCCACCUGGACUGAUACUGACGCUGAGGCGCGAGAGCGUGGGUAGCAAACAGG
rnacentral:rRNA from 1 species